rnacentral:piRNA from 6 species
GAGCCCGGAUAGCUCAGUCGGUAGA